rnacentral:rRNA from 1 species
UGGGGAAUAUUGCACAAUGGGCGCAAGCCUGAUGCAGCCAUGCCGCGUGUAUGAAGAAGGCCUUCGGGUUGUAAAGUACCUUCAGCGGGGAGGAAGGGAGUAAAGUUAAUACCUUUGCUCAUUGACGUUACCCGCAGAAGAAGCACCGGCUAACUCCGUGCCAGCAGCCGCGGUAAUACGGAGGGUGCAAGCGUUAAUCGGAAUUACUGGGCGUAAAGCGCACGCAGGCGGUUUGUUAAGUCAGAUGUGAAAUCCCCGGGCUCAACCUGGGAACUGCAUCUGAUACUGGCAAGCUUGAGUCUCGGAGAGGGGGGUAGAAUUCCAGGUGUAGCGGUGAAAUGCGUAGAGAUCUGGAGGAAUACCGGUGGCGAAGGCGGCCCCCUGGACGAAGACUGACGCUCAGGUGCGAAAGCGUGGGGAGCAAACAGG